rnacentral:rRNA from 1 species
UACGGGGGGAGCAAGCGUUGUUCGGAUUUACUGGGCGUAAAGGGCGCGUAGGCGGCCACCGCAAGUCGACUGUGAAAUCUCCGGGCUUAACCCGGAAAGGUCAGCCGAUACUGCGGGGCUAGAGUGCAGAAGGGGCAACUGGAAUUCUCGGUGUAGCGGUGAAAUGCGUAGAUAUCGCUUGGAACGCCAACGGUGAAAACAGGUUGCUGGGGGUGUGCUGACGCUGAGACACGAAAGCCAGGGGAGCGAACGGG